UAGUAGACGCCAAUGCCGCCCUUAGCCUCCGUUGUUUUUAGAAGUUGCUAGUUACAGGCCACUCUCUAAUGCCUCAGCGUUCAAGUCUCUACAAAUUGGAGAAAGAAAGAAGAGACCUCAGUCCUGAACCCAAAAGAAACUGAAUUCAGCCUGCAACCAGAAGGCACCUGGAAAAAAGACAUCAAGAUACACAUGAAAAUGCAGCUCCCAGAUGACUUCUUAAUCAGGGAACCCAGAUAUGCCAUGACCUGAUUUCUGACUCACAGAACUGCAAGCUCCAUAUCUUGCCUAAAGUCAACACAAGCAAAAUGCAUGCCUCUGAGGACUUGGCAGGCCCUGCAGAUGCACUGAUCAUUUUUUGAUGCCUUUCACAUUUCUUGAGGUCCCUGGUCGUAUUCUGGAUUUAAAACCGCAGCUUUAGAACUGGGAAUAAUCUGGCUUCAAAUAAAAUAG